rnacentral:rRNA from 1 species
CCCUUAGAUGUUCUGGGCCGCACGCGCGCUACACUGAUGCAUUCAACGAGUCUAAAACCUGCUCUGAUAGGGGUGGGUAAUCUUUUGAAUGUGCAUCGUGAUUGGGAUAGAUGAUUGCAAUUUUUCAUCUUCAACGAGGAAUGCCUAGUAAGCGCGAGUCAUCAGCUCGCGUUGAUUACGUCCCUGCCCUUUGUACACACCGCCCGUCGCUACUACCGAUUGAAUGGUUUAGUGAGGACUCCUGAUUGGCGCCGCCGCCCCGGCAACGGAGCAGCGGACUGCCGAAAAGUUGUUCAAACUUGAUCAUUUAGAGGAAGUAAAAGUCGUAACA